GAGUUUGAUCCUGGCUCAGGAUGAACGCUAGCUACAGGCUUAACACAUGCAAGUCGAGGGGCAUCAGGAAGAAAGCUUGCUUUCUUUGCUGGCGACCGGCGCACGGGUGAGUAACACGUAUCCAACCUGCCCUUUACUCGGGGAUAGCCUUUCGAAAGAAAGAUUAAUACCCGAUAGCAUAAUGAUUCCGCAUGGUUUCAUUAUUAAAGGAUUCCGGUAAAGGAUGGGGAUGCGUUCCAUUAGGUUGUUGGUGAGGUAACGGCUCACCAAGCCUUCGAUGGAUAGGGGUUCUGAGAGGAAGGUCCCCCACAUUGGAACUGAGACACGGUCCAAACUCCUACGGGAGGCAGCAGUGAGGAAUAUUGGUCAAUGGGCGCUAGCCUGAACCAGCCAAGUAGCGUGAAGGAUGAAGGCUCUAUGGGUCGUAAACUUCUUUUAUAUAAGAAUAAAGUGCAGUAUGUAUACUGUUUUGUAUGUAUUAUAUGAAUAAGGAUCGGCUAACUCCGUGCCAGCAGCCGCGGUAAUACGGAGGAUCCGAGCGUUAUCCGGAUUUAUUGGGUUUAAAGGGAGCGUAGGUGGACUGGUAAGUCAGUUGUGAAAGUUUGCGGCUCAACCGUAAAAUUGCAGUUGAUACUGUCAGUCUUGAGUACAGUAGAGGUGGGCGGAAUUCGUGGUGUAGCGGUGAAAUGCUUAGAUAUCACGAAGAACUCCGAUUGCGAAGGCAGCUCACUGGACUGCAACUGACACUGAUGCUCGAAAGUGUGGGUAUCAAACAGGAUUAGAUACCCUGGUAGUCCACACAGUAAACGAUGAAUACUCGCUGUUUGCGAUAUACAGUAAGCGGCCAAGCGAAAGCAUUAAGUAUUCCACCUGGGGAGUACGCCGGCAACGGUGAAACUCAAAGGAAUUGACGGGGGCCCGCACAAGCGGAGGAACAUGUGGUUUAAUUCGAUGAUACGCGAGGAACCUUACCCGGGCUUAAAUUGCAGUGGAAUGAUGUGGAAACAUGUCAGUGAGCAAUCACCGCUGUGAAGGUGCUGCAUGGUUGUCGUCAGCUCGUGCCGUGAGGUGUCGGCUUAAGUGCCAUAACGAGCGCAACCCUUAUCUUCAGUUACUAACAGGUCAUGCUGAGGACUCUGGAGAGACUGCCGUCGUAAGAUGUGAGGAAGGUGGGGAUGACGUCAAAUCAGCACGGCCCUUACGUCCGGGGCUACACACGUGUUACAAUGGGGGGUACAGAAGGCAGCUAGCGGGUGACCGUAUGCUAAUCCCAAAAGCCUCUCUCAGUUCGGAUCGAAGUCUGCAACCCGACUUCGUGAAGCUGGAUUCGCUAGUAAUCGCGCAUCAGCCACGGCGCGGUGAAUACGUUCCCGGGCCUUGUACACACCGCCCGUCAAGCCAUGGGAGCCGGGGGUACCUGAAGUACGUAACCGCAAGGAUCGUCCUAGGGUAAAACUGGUGACUGGGGCUAAGUCGUAACAAGGUAGCCGUACCGGAAGGUGCGGCUGGAACACC
rnacentral:rRNA from 3 species